rnacentral:rRNA from 1 species
UACAGAGGAUGCAAGCGUUAUCCGGAAUGAUUGGGCGUAAAGCGUCUGUAGGUGGCUUUUUAAGUCCGCCGUCAAAUCCCAGGGCUCAACUCUGGACAGGCGGUGGAAACUACCAAGCUGGAGUACGGUAGGGGCAGAGGGAAUUUCCGGGUGGAGUGGUGAAAUGCGUAGAGAUCCGGAGGAACACCAAAGGCGAAGGCAGUGUCCUGGGGAGUACCUGACGCUCAGGUGCGAAAGCCAGGGGAGCGAACGGG